GUCUUAGUAGCUUACACUUAAUACAAAGCAUUGGCCUUGUAAACCAAAAACGGGCACAGGCCCCUAAGACA
rnacentral:tRNA from 1 species